rnacentral:rRNA from 1 species
GACGAACGCUGGCGGCGGGCUUAACACAUGCAAGUCGAACGGAAAGGCCCUGCUUUUGUGGGGUGCUCGAGUGGCGAACGGGUGAGUAACACGGGAGUAACCUGCCCUUGACGUUGGGAUAACUGCAGGAAACUGGUGCUAAUACCGGAUAGGAGCUCCUGCUGCAUGGGGGGGGUUGGAAAGUUUCGGCGGUUGUGGAUGGACUCGCGGCUUAUCAGCUUGUUGGUGGGGUAGUGGCUUACCAAGGCUUUGACGGGUAGCCGGCCUGAGAGGGUGGACGGGCACCAGAGGACUGCGAGACGGCGCAGACUCCUACGGGAGGCAGAAGGGGGGAAUAUUGCACAAUGGGCGGAAGCCUGAUGCAGCAACGCCGCGUGCGGGAUGACGGCCUUCGUGUUGUAAACCGCUGUAGCCUGUGACGAAGCGUGAGUGACGGUAAUGGGUAAAGAAGCACCGGCUAACUACGUG